rnacentral:rRNA from 1 species
AUGGCGGAGGGCUUCCAACUUGGCAUGUCACAGCCGGCAACGCCGUUCGAUUGCGGCGCAGGGUUCAUCAACCCUGCCGGCGCAAUGGACCCCGGGCUCGUUCUCGAGUCCGGGUUUGAUGACUACAUCAGCUUCCUCUGCUCGUUGCCGCAGCUCGGCCCGACGACGUCUCAGGAGCCACCGGAGCGGCAUGCCAGUCGCCGCUAG